rnacentral:rRNA from 1 species
UCGAGCGAAGUCUUCGGACUUAGCGGCGGACGGGUGAGUAACGCGUGGGAACGUGCCCUUUGCUUCGGAAUAGCCCCGGGAAACUGGGAGUAAUACCGAAUGUGCCCUAUGGGGGAAAGAUUUAUCGGCAAAGGAUCGGCCCGCGUUGGAUUAGGUAGUUGGUGGGGUAAUGGCCUACCAAGCCGACGAUCCAUAGCUGGUUUGAGAGGAUGAUCAGCCACACUGGGACUGAGACACGGCCCAGACUCCUACGGGAGGCAGCAGUGGGGAAUCUUAGACAAUGGGCGCAAGCCUGAUCUAGCCAUGCCGCGUGAUCGAUGAAGGCCUUAGGGUUGUAAAGAUCUUUCAGGUGGGAAGAUAAUGACGGUACCACCAGAAGAAGCCCCGGCUAACUCCGUGCCAGCAGCCGCGGUAAUACGGAGGGGGCUAGCGUUAUUCGGAAUUACUGGGCGUAAAGCGCACGUAGGCGGAUCGGAAAGUCAGAGGUGAAAUCCCAGGGCUCAACCCUGGAACUGCCUUUGAAACUCCCGAUCUUGAGGUCGA